GACGAACGCUGGCGGCGUGCCUAAUACAUGCAAGUCGAACGCUUCUUUUCCCACCGGAGCUUGCUCCACCGGGAAAAGAGGAGUGGCGAACGGGUGAGUAACACGUGGGUAACCUGCCCAUCAGAAGGGGAUAACACUUGGAAACAGGUGCUAAUACCGUAUAACAAUCGAAACCGCAUGGUUUCGUUUUGAAAGGCGCUUUACGGUGCCGCUGAUGGAUGGACCCGCGGUGCAUUAGCUAGUUGGUGAGGUAACGGCGCACCAAGGCCACGAUGCAUAGCCGACCUGAGAGGGUGAUCGGCCACAUUGGGACUGAGACACGGCCCAAACUCCUACGGGAGGCAGCAUGAGGGAAUCUUCGGCAAUGGACGAAAGUCUGACCGAGCAACGCCGCGUGAGUGAAGAAGGUUUUCGGAUCGUAAAACUCUGUUGUUAGAGAAGAACAAGGGUGAGAGUAACUGUUCACCCCUUGACGGUAUCUAACCAGAGAGCCACGGCUAACUACGUGCCAGCCGCCGCCGUAA
rnacentral:rRNA from 1 species